rnacentral:RNase_P_RNA from 1 species
GGAGUGGACCGGGCGAUCGUCGGCGCGGGCCGCAAGGCACGCGCGGGAGGAAAGUCUGGGCUCCACAGGACACGGUGGUGGGUAACUCCCACCGGCCGCGAGGCCAGGGAAAGUGCAACAGAAAGCAAACCGCCUGCGGCGCGCAAGCGACGCGGUAAGGGUGAAACGGUGAGGUAAGAGCUCACCAGCAGGCUGGGCGACCAGCCUGGCUAGGCAAACCCCACCGGGAGCAAGACCAAGCAGGAGGAAGCUGGCGCGCAAGCGCCGGCGCGACGCGGUCCGUGUCGCCACCACCUCCGGGUAGGUUGCUGGAGCCGCCGAGCAAUCGGCGGCCUAGAGAAAUGAUCGCCGCCGGCGCAACACGCCGGCACAGAACCCGGCUUACAGGUCCACUCCGGAU